rnacentral:sRNA from 1 species
GCUAAACAGAAGGCUCUUGCUAUGGAGUUUGGAGAUUGGGAGGACUCUUAUAACCACAUGCCGAGGUGGUUGCAUGCCGUCAAGGAAGCAAACCUAGGUACAAUUUUACAAUGCAUUGGUUAUCCUGUGAAUAUUGAUGGAGAAACCGACGAUAAUUGCUAUAUUAUGGAAAGAGUUUUCUGGUCUUUCGGUCCUUGCAUAGAAGGAUUCAAAUACUGUAAACCCAUUAUCCAAGUUGAUGGCACAUUUCUCACGGGUAAAUAUCAUGGAAAUUUGCUAACCGCCAUUGGUCAAGAUGGCAAUAGAAAUAUUUUCCCGCUCGCCUUUGCCAUUGUAGAAGGUGAGACAAAGGAGGCCUUGAUAUGGUUUUUUCAACUACUUCGAGAACAUCUUUGUCAUCAACAAAAUAUUUGCAUCAUCACUGACAGAGGAAAGGGUAUACUAUCCGCCUUAAGAUCAGAUGAAGUUGGUUGGGAACAAGAUGGUUUGAACUCUGUUUAUUGCAUACGUCAUCUAGCAUCCAACUUCAACAGCAAAUUCAAAAAUCACGACCUAAAAAAACAAUUCAUCAAUUUAGCUUACGAGGUCAAGCAACCAACUGUUACGGCAAAACUUGCUGCAUUGAGAAACCAAUACCCACAA